AUCUAUAUAUUCUAAAUGUAAAGAGGCUGAAUUCUUACUUCAGUAAUGUGAGUUUCACUAUAGGUU
rnacentral:tRNA from 1 species